GAUCAUGGCUCAGGAUGAACGCUAGCUACAGGCUUAACACAUGCAAGUCGCGGGGCAGCAGGUACAGAAGCUUGCUUCAGUACGCUGGCGACCGGCGCACGGAUGAGUAACGCGUAUCCAACCUGGCCCAUACCACGGGACAGCCCGUCGAAAGGCGGAUUAAGUACCGUAUGCAGUCAUUAGGGAGCAUUUUUUGAUGACGAAAGGAUUUGGCGGUAUGGGAUGGGGAUGCG
rnacentral:rRNA from 1 species